AUGAUGGGACAACAAAUACUGCAUGUUGACGCAUCCUACUCAGAAGACAAUUUCACAGCUUGUGGAGCAGUGCUUCGUGAUAACAGAGGAGGCUUCAUCAGGGCAGCUACGGCGAGACUUGACCACGUCCCAGAUGUGGUUUCAGCAGAAGCAGCAUCGCUGUUGGAGGGACUAAAACUAACACAGAGCGCUGGAUGCAACAAUCUUUUAGUACGUAUGGACAACCUGAUAGUGGUGCAGGCGCUACAUAAUAAUGAAGGACACUCGAUGGUGGCGGCUCUUAUUUUGCAAGAUUGCCGAGUGAUGUUGAGAUAAUUCGGGAAGGCUGUGGUAGAACAUUGUAUUAGAGAGUCUAAUAUGGUUGCACAUGAGCUAGCUCAGUGGGGUGGUGCCAAUACUCCUAUCUUUUGGCUGGAGGCUCCGCCGGAUUUCCUCUUUAAAUUUUUAGCUGAUGAUGUAAGUGUCAUUUGA
rnacentral:rRNA from 1 species